rnacentral:rRNA from 1 species
UACGGAGGGUGCAAGCGUUGCUCGGAAUUAUUGGGCGUAAAGGGGAGGUAGGUGGUCUCGUUUGUCCGAGGUGAAAUCCCUAGGCUUAACCUAGGACGUGCCUCGGAAACGGCGAGACUGGAGUACUGGAGAGGCUAGCGGAAUACCCGGUGUAGCGGUGAAAUGCGUAGAGAUCGGGUGGAACACCAGAGGCGAAGGCGGCUAGCUGGACAGUUACCGACACUCAACUCCGAAAGCGUGGGGAGCAAACAGG